CACUACGGUCGUGCUACCCUGAACACGCCUGAUCUCAUUUGAUCUCGGAAGCUAAGGAGGGUCGGGCUAAUUUAGUACUUGAAUCGGAGACCGCCUAGGAAGACCAGGUGCUGUAGGCU
rnacentral:rRNA from 1 species